rnacentral:tRNA from 1 species
GCGGCUGUGGUGGAAUUGGUAGACACGCCAUCUUGAGGGGGUGGUGACGAAAGUCGUGAGAGUUCGAGUCUCUCCAGCCGCACCA